rnacentral:rRNA from 1 species
GAGCGUUCUAAGGGCGUUGAAGCAUGAUCGUAAGGACAUGUGGAGCGCUUAGAAGUGAGAAUGCCGGUGUGAGUAGCGAAAGACGGGUGAGAAUCCCGUCCACCGAUUGACUAAGGUUUCCAGAGGAAGGCUCGUCCGCUCUGGGUUAGUCGGGUCCUAAGCUGAGGCCGACAGGCGUAGGCGAUGGAUAACAGGUUGAUAUUCCUGUACCACCUAUAAUCGUUUUAAUCGAUGGGGGGACGCAGUAGGAUAGGCGAAGCGUGCGAUUGGAUUGCACGUCUAAGCAGUAAGGCUGAGUAUUAGGCAAAUCCGGUACUCAUUAAGGCUGAGCUGUGAUGGGGAGAAGACAUUGUGUCUUCGAGUCGUUGAUUUCACACUGCCGAGAAAAGCCUCUAGAUAGAAAAUAGGUGCCCGUACCGCAAACCGACACAGGUAGUCAAGAUGAGAAUUCUAAGGUGAGCGAGCGAACUCUCGUUAAGGAACUCGGCAAAAUGACCCCGUAACUUCGGGAGAAGGGGUGCUCUUUAGGGUUAACGCCCAGAAGAGCCGCAGUGAAUAGGCCCAAGCGACUGUUUAUCAAAAACACAGGUCUCUGCUAAACCGUAAGGUGAUGUAUAGGGGCUGACGCCUGCCCGGUGCUGGAAGGUUAAGAGGAGUGGUUAGCUUCUGCGAAGCUACGAAUCGAAGCCCCAGUAAACGGCGGCCGUAACUAUAACGGUCCUAAGGUAGCGAAAUUCCUUGUCGGGUAAGUUCCGACCCGCACGAAAGGCGUAACGAUUUGGGCACUGUCUCAACGAGAGACUCGGUGAAAUCAUAGUACCUGUGAAGAUGCAGGUUACCCGCGACAGGACGGAAAGACCCCGUGGAGCUUUACUGUAGCCUGAUAUUGAAAUUCGGCACAGCUUGUACAGGAUAGGUAGGAGCCUUUGAAACGUGAGCGCUAGCUUACGUGGAGGCGCUGGUGGGAUACUACCCUAGCUGUGUUGGCUUUCUAACCCGCACCACUUAUCGUGGUGGGAGACAGUGUCAGGCGGGCAGUUUGACUGGGGCGGUCGCCUCCUAAAAGGUAACGGAGGCGCUCAAAGGUUCCCUCAGAAUGGUUGGAAAUCAUUCAUAGAGUGUAAAGGCAUAAGGGAGCUUGACUGCGAGACCUACAAGUCGAGCAGGGUCGAAAGACGGACUUAGUGAUCCGGUGGUUCCGCAUGGAAGGGCCAUCGCUCAACGGAUAAAAGCUACCCCGGGGAUAACAGGCUUAUCUCCCCCAAGAGUUCACAUCGACGGGGAGGUUUGGCACCUCGAUGUCGGCUCAUCGCAUCCUGGGGCUGUAGUCGGUCCCAAGGGUUGGGCUGUUCGCCCAUUAAAGCGGUACGCGAGCUGGGUUCAGAACGUCGUGAGACAGUUCGGUCCCUAUCCGUCGUGGGCGUAGGAAAUUUGAGAGGAGCUGUCCUUAGUACGAGAGGACCGGGAUGGACAUACCUCUGGUGUACCAGUUGUCGUGCCAACGGCAUAGCUGGGUAGCUAUGUGUGGACGGGAUAAGUGCUGAAAGCAUCUAAGCAUGAAGCCCCCCUCAAGAUGAGAUUUCCCAACUUCGGUUAUAAGAUCCCUCAAAGAUGAUGAGGUUAAUAGGUUCGAGGUGGAAGCAUGGUGACAUGUGGAGCUGACGAAUACUAA